AUACGGAGGGUGCAAGCGUUAAUCGGAAUUACUGGGCGUAAAGCGCGCGUAGGCGGAUAUUUAAGUCUCAUGUGAAAGCCCUGGGCUCAACCUGGGAACUGCAUGGGAUACUGGGUAUCUAGAAUACAGUAGAGGGUAGUGGAAUUUCAGGUGUAGCGGUGAAAUGCGUAGAGAUCGGAAGGAACAUCAGUGGCGAAGGCGACUACCUGGACUGAUAUUGACGCUGAGGUGCGAAAGCGUGGGGAGCAAACGGGAUUAGAAACCCUAGUAGUCC
rnacentral:rRNA from 1 species